rnacentral:rRNA from 1 species
CAGUAGCCGCGGGAAUACGUAGGGUGCGAGCGUUAAUCGGAAUUACUGGGCGUAAAGCGUGCGCAGGCGGUUGUGUAAGACAGGUGUGAAAUCCCCGGGCUUAACCUGGGAACUGCGCUUGUGACUGCACAGCUAGAGUAUGGCAGAGGGGGGUGGAAUUCCACGUGUAGCAGUGAAAUGCGUAGAGAUGUGGAGGAACACCGAUGGCGAAGGCAGCCCCCUGGGCCAAUACUGACGCUCAUGCACGAAAGCGUGGGGAGCAAAUGGGAUUAGAUACCCCAGUAGUCCCUGUCUCUUAUAC